rnacentral:rRNA from 1 species
UAUACCUGCAGUCGAACGCUUCUUUUUCCACCGGGGCUUGCUCCACCGGAAAAAGAGGAGUGGCGAACGGGUGAGUAACACGUGGGUAACCUGCCCAUCAGAAGGGGAUAACACUUGGAAACAGGUGCUAAUACCGUAUAACAAUCGAAACCGCAUGGUUUUGAUUUGAAAGGCGCUUUCGGGUGUCGCUGAUGGAUGGACCCGCGGUGCAUUAGCUAGUUGGUGAGGUAACGGCUCACCAAGGCCACGAUGCAUAGCCGACCUGAGAGGGUGAUCGGCCACAUUGGGACUGAGACACGGCCCAAACUCCUACGGGAGGCAGCAGUAGGGAAUCUUCGGCAAUGGACGAAAGUCUGACCGAGCAACGCCGCGUGAGUGAAGAAGGUUUUCGGAUCGUAAAACUCUGUUGUUAGAGAAGAACAAGGAUGAGAGUAACUGUUCAUCCCUUGACGGUAUCUAACCAGAAAGCCACGGCUAACUACGUGCCAGCAGCCGCGGUAAUACGUAGGUGGCAAGCGUUGUCCGGAUUUAUUGGGCGUAAAGCGAGCGCAGGCGGUUUCUUAAGUCUGAUGUGAAACCCCCCGGCUCAACCGGGGAGGGUCAUUGGAAACUGGGAAACUUGAGUGCAGAAAAAAGAGAGUGGAAUUCGUUGCGGAGCCGGGAAAAUGAAAAAAGAAAUGGGGGGGAAAAAAAGUGGGCGGGGGGGGGUUCUUUGGGUGUGGCACAAAAAAACA